UAAAGAACUACCUGCUGGAUUUAGCCAAAGUUAUAAAUUGAUGACAAUAACUUGUAAGGUUAUGCUUGAUGCUGAGCACUACAAGAGUUGAUGAAGGAGCUGUGACCUCGCCUAUGGGUGCUUAGAACUGCGAACAUUUGAUAUCCAGGCUGGUUUUGAAGAGAUCUUCUGUUGGAAGAAGAGCCAUCGUCUGUCCUCUGUCUGUCCACCAUCUCGUCGGUUGUCAUCCAUCCACAUAUCCAUCUCAACUGCCGUAUCACCGUCCUCCCAGCAAGUCUCCAUCUCCACUCAGCCAUCAGUCAUCACCGCGGACCAUCUUGUGGAGCAUUCAGUGUAGACGAGGGUGGAACGCCACAGUCACGGAGAGGAAACAGUCUGAAACUCUGGACACCUAUCGCCGUGAGAGGAGGAUCUGCUUGAGCAGGAGAAAUAAAUCCGUGCGAAUUGUCAGUGUAGAGUUCAACUUUGGUGCAUUCACACCGCUGACCAAUGGUAAACUGUCUUGACAGCGCUGACCUUUUAGAGAGCCCAGAGCUUCCUCUAGUCUUAGCUGGGUUGCACCAUUCAGUUUCAUUGAACCGGCUCCACAGAAGAGCAGUGGUUUGCAGAUGGUUAUGAGACAUGAGAUAAUGUUACAAAUAUGUUGAAUAAAUAAUAUUAUAUAUAAUGAUAAUAAUAUGUUGAAUACAUUUAUUUUAUUAUUAUUAUCAUGCUAGUGACUGAGCUAAGCUAACAAGGAUUUUUGUAUGUGUACGGACAACUCAAAUGCAACAGCAAAUACAUUUUGUACAAAACGGUAGAAAAGUACAAUAUUUCCCUUUUGAAGUUUAGUGGUGUGGAAGUACUUGUACAUAAUUGCUUAAUUAGUCCAGCACUGCUAAUACAAUUAUUUAGCCUUCAGCACACAUUGAUUUUAAUACUGUUCAAUUACCCAACAGCUAAAACAUUUCCUGAAUGAAAAGAAAGCAGGUAUCUAUUAUGGAAGUUAAUAUCGAAAAGGUAAAAAACUAACUCAAC